rnacentral:rRNA from 1 species
UACGGGGGGAGCAAGCGUUGUUCGGAUUUACUGGGCGUAAAGGGCGCGUAGGCGGCCACCGCAAGUCAGUUGUGAAAUCUCUGGGCUUAACCCAGAACGGUCAGCUGAUACUGCGGGGCUAGAGUGCAGAAGGGGCAACUGGAAUUCUCGGUGUAGCGGUGAAAUGCGUAGAUAUCGAGAGGAACACCUGCGGCGAAGGCGGGUUGCUGGGCUGACACUGACGCUGACAGCGCGGAAGCUAGGGGAGCGAACGGG